UUUUUUUUUUUUUUUUUUUUUUGGCUUUUUUUUGGUUUUUUGAGACAGAGUUUCUCUGUGUAGCCUUGGCUGUCCUGGAACUCACUUUGUAAACCAGGCUGGCCUCGAACUCAGAAAUCCGCCUGCCUCUGCCUUCCAAGUGCUGGGAUUCAAGACUGUUAAGGCCCUUGAGAAAGCCUUGACUUUGAUACCAGGGAGGAUGCGAGGCCACUGCGGGUUCAGCGUAGGUAACCAUCCUGCACUUCACAGGGGUCAUCUGGCUCCUCUGGGGAGAAGAGAACUGGAGCAGUGGACCAACAGGGCCCCUGUGGUUCCCUGGGUUCACCGAUGCUGCAGACUUGGAUAAGAGCAAGGGUGGUCGGUAGCGGUGGACCUGGUGAGAAAGGGCCGCAGGUUGAGGACUUGUUCCGUGUGGAGUCCACAGGUUUCUGCAUGGGUUGGGUGUGGUGGAGUAUGGUGUAAAGAGUGAAGGAGGAGUCAGAGCUUAGCCCCGUGACUGGCAGUGGGCGGGGCGGCUACUCUGAAUGCAGAGGGAGCGGAAAAGAUGUCUCGGGUCCUGGUGGAGAUUUGGGCGAGGCGGUUGGACUUGUGAGGCCGAGGCUUCCAGGUGAGUGCUGGGCCGGGGCUCUAGAGUUUGGAGUGUGAACACCAUCCAAGGAAGAAGAUGUGAUCCAAGAGUCUCUAAAAGGUAGUCUUUUGCGGGCGGCCCUGGCAAGGCCAGCCAUGCUGCGUGCGGAUGUCCGGAUUCUCCUAACCCCCACUAUGUUCCGUGCCCACUGGUAUGUUUCAUCCCUGUUCAUAUCACAAGCGCAACUUUACCUCAUCUCGCAUGUGUGCGUGUGCUUGCUCUCUGUGCCCUUCUCCCUGUUCCGACUCUCCCACCCUGCCAACACCCUGUUCUUGCAGACAGUUGCCUCAGUAGUAGUAGCAGCGACAGCGGUUCCGAAUCCAGCUGGGCCCUAGGAGACCUUCAGAAGCAGGGCAGAUGCAGACAACUGCAGCCUCCACAAGGAGCCUGUUAAGCUCGCUGAUGAAAGCAGCCCCGGGGAGCUCAGGUUUCCACGUGGCAGUUGCAGGAAUCCCAGUGGAGGACUGUGGCUUAAGGGAAGAACUGAGGCUAUGUCGCCCUGCAGGCCUGGCUUCAGAGCCUGGCUCUGUCACUUAUAGUGAUCCCAGACUUGCCACCCAGCUGUCUCAUGCCCCAGUUAGCUUCACUUAUGGACUGGGGCCCUCUUUGGUGGCUGAAAGGCUUCAAGAGGAUGACAUAAAAAGUGCCUGAGGGGUGAGCAGGAUGGCUUAGCCCAUAAAGGCACUUGCUGAGAAGACUAAAGGACCUCUGUCAAUGACUCCAAGUUGUCCUCUGAUGACCACAGGAGUACUGUGGGACAUAUACUGCUCCCCCCAUAAUAAAUAAAUGAGUAUAAAAAGAAAGUGCCAGAAAAAGUCUGUCAUGGACUAUGGAUCAAUUCCACUUGCUCUUUUUUGGGGAUCUUUGUUGUCUUUUCCAAUGAAGAAUGAUCAUUUAAAUACACAUAUUGUGGUGUUUGGAUGGGAAUAUGGAAGGUACACUUAGCAGUCAUCCAGCAUUACCUACUGAAGCAGCUUCCGGGAGAAGUUUGCUUUGGUUCACAGCCCCAGUCAGUGACAGUGGGGCACAUCGUGGUGGUGGCUGUUGUACCCUGGUCCAUGGCAGUGGGAGAUUGCGGUGCUACUAGUUCAUGUUGUGUUGGAUCAGUUAGCAGGGGUGGGGCCAGGGUUGGGGCUGGGUCACAUCACCUUAAUGGCUUUCCUGUAGUGCUCUGUGUCCAGCAGGUAGGCCUCACACUGGAAAAGCUCAAGACAGCAGUGCCUCCAGCUGGAGAGCAAGAGUUCAGCUAGGUGGGAGGUGGUAGCAGACCUUACACAUUUUAAUCAUAAUGACUGUUUCUGCUUUUUAGAAUUUCAAAUCCAGUGUCUUACCAGUCAGUGUUCACUGAGAACAGGGUCACUGCCAAGCCCACCUCUGGAGAUUUGGUGCUUUUUUUUUUUUUUUUGGAAAAUCAGGGGUUAAUCGUGUCGCAACCAGCAAUUUCUGCACCUUACAGGCCCAUCCCUGAAUCAGGUGGUGUGGGCUUGGGUGUUACCAUUCAUCUGUUUAUCUGUUCUUUCAUCCACCAUCCAUACAUCCAUCAUCCAUACAUCCAUCAUCCAUACAUCCAUCCAUCCAUACAUCCAUCAUCCAUACAUCCAUCAUCCAUACAUCCAUCAUCCGUACAUCCAUCCAUCCAUCCAUCCAUCAUCCAUACAUCCAUCAUCCAUACAUCCAUUUGUUUGUUUAUUUGAGACAGAGUCUCACUAUAUAGCCUUGGUUGGCCUAGAACUCACUGUGCAGGCCAAAUUGGCUUAUAGCUCACAGAGAUCCUCCUGCUUCUGCCUCCUAAGUGCUGGGAUUAAAGGUGUGUGCCACCUGUUCAGCCCACGAAGUAUUUUUUGACUAGAUACUCUCAGCUUAGGUUCUGCAAACAGGUCCUUAACUGCAGAUGAUAGAAUGAAGGAGUUAAAACGAAGCAGGGGAACUGACUUCAUCUGAUUUGUUGUUUCUGAUGCCCAGCUCUGUAGAUGCUUAGUGCAGGAUGCUCUCUUAGGGCCUUGUAGAGGGAGAUGCAGGGCUCCCAGCCUCCCCACCCUUGGUCAUCUGGUCUGGUGGUGGCGUACCCAUCACUCUGAGCAUCUGCCAUCUAGAGCUGUACAAGAAUGCAGGCUAGCACGAUAUCUGCAGCCUCUUGCAUGCUCCUGUGGUUCUUGGGAUCAGAAGUGCUUGGGAUGGGUAGGGUGUAGUGAUUGACAGGACAUUUAUCUCUCUAUCUAAGGCUCCUCAGCUGACCACCCCACUUGGCCAGUGGCCCAACUUGGUAAGAACUAUUCACCAAAAAAAAAAAAAAAAAAAAAAAAAAAAAAAAAACCAAAACCCCAAAAAAACCUCAUAUGGCUUAUAUUUAAGGUAUAUAAGAUGAUGUUAUGGGAGACAUAAAUAAUGAAGUGGUUGCUAUAGUGAAGCAGGUUAAUUCCAUCAUAUCACAGAGUUACCCAGUUUUGAAUUUUGUUUUUGUGCCAAGACCAGCCU
rnacentral:lncRNA from 1 species